UUUCGUCCGUUCCCGAGACUCACCGCGCUCCCCCUCCCUCACAGGCACCGGCACAGGCCACACGGGGCUGAAAGCUGCACCCCUAAAAUAAACCCCCCCACCCCCCUUUAUCCCAGCCCACCCACAGCCAGAAUAUCAAACGUCUUCCCCCAAAAAGUCCCCUAGCGUCUGAGCUAGACGCUGUUCAUCCAAGCAAGGUAAAUACACCUAUUGACUCUCACCUGGUUUCUCUUGAUAAGUUAUAAGUUAAAUCUCUUGUAAAUGUAUAGUGUCUUCUGUAGGAAGUCAGCAAGUGCACUUCUAAUGAGUGCCCUUUACCUGGUUUCUCAGUGAGACCAUAGGUGUACUUUGUGACCUUCACUGGGUCACUCUUGGUACUAAGUGUCCCUGUAGGUGACCCUUACUUGGUCUCUUGGUAAUAAAUGUCUCUGUAGGUGACACUUACUUGGUAUCUUGGUACUAAAUGUCCCUGUAGGUGACCCUUACUUGGUCUCUUAGUAACAAAUGUCCCUCUGGGUGACCCUUAUUUGGUCUCUUGGCAACGUCCAUGUGGGUGACCCUUACUUGGUCCUAAAUAUCCCUGUAUGUGACCCUUACUUCGUCUCUUGGUACUAAAUGUCCCUGUAGGUGACCCUUACUUGGUAUCUUGAUACUGAAUGUCCCUGUAGGUGACCCUUACUUGGUCUCUUAGUAACAAACGUCCCUGUAGGUGACACUUACUUGGUAUCUUGGUACUAAAUGUCCCUUUAGGUGACCCUUACUUUGUCUCUGGGUAAUGAUGUCCCUGUAGGUGACCCUUACUUGGUCUCUUGGCAAUUAGAUGUCCCUGUAGGUGACCCUUACUUGGUCUCUUGGUAAUGAGGUAUCCCUUAGUGACCUUUCCCUGGUUUCUGUUGGUAACCGAGCCACUUUCAGCCCUGCUUGCUUAUGGCCAAAGGUAAGGUGAUAAUGGGUUAUGGAGGUUGUAAGAGGUCAUGGGUCAGUCUGAGAGCUGCUCUCACAGCACUGGAGCAAACACUGUCGUGCUCGUUUUGUCGGCAGGGGACAUGGCGUUGAUUUUAGCAACGGCAGCAUUCGGUCAUGUGACCCUGAGCUUACAAAGCUCUCCUUGUGUGAGCCCGGUGGCCGGAGUGGAGCGAGUGUCCAUCCAACCGCAGCGCGUGCAGUGUUUGCUCCAGGUCUCGGCCCGCAUGCAGGAUGUGACGGCCCAGCGGCCUCUAAAAGCCGAAAGUGGAGCCGCUCCGAGCCCCAGCAUAGGGGGGCUGCUGUUGCAUCCUGCAUGGGCUGCAGGGCGUUUUUAUACUACAAACCUAGAGCCACCCGGGACCCCUCUAGCUACUUUCUAGUGGCAUAUUUUCAAACCAUAAUGUAAUGUAGGUAGGCUGUUAAAAAAAACAUCAAUAUUUGUGUCAUUGUAGAUGGGGAAGAUAUGGGCUGUGUAAUAUCUACAGACAGACAUGAGUAAUACUGAGUUUUACAUACCUGAGGGGUUCCUAUAUGUCUAUAUAUAUACAUAUGUGUGUUUUUAGGGGGUUUACUGUGAAAGAAAAAAAGGUGAAAGCAUGAACAUAAAAAGGGUACAUGUGGUGUUUUUAUGAAAAAAAAACAUUAGAAAACAUUAUAAACCUUUCGGUCACUUGUGUGUGAAACUGGAGCUGGUUACGAUUGACGGGCAGAACAGAAAAUGGCGUUAGGAGUUGCGUGUGUUUGUGGAAGUGCAGGGACGUUGGCAGUUACAUGCCUUCCACUGAGUGUGUGAGUUUGCACGUGUGUGUGUGAGUGAGUAAUGCUUUCACCUUUUGCCCCUUUACACAGGUAAGAAUGGGGGGGGGGGGGGGGGGGGGGGUUUGGGAGUGCAAAUGUUUUUUCUGUCUUCUUGAACGUUUAACAUGCUGUCGCAUUUAUACGCUGCAGGUUACAAAGUGCGCGCCAUGUAAGCACAGCAGUACUUUUACAGUCACAGCCCUGAGCUGGGAAGCGUAAUCACAAGAGGGGCUCUUAGAACCAAAUGGGGAGAGAGAGAGAGAGCCAGAGAGCUCAACAUGAAGUGUGUCUGUGUGUUUAAAAUAAAAAAAUUCAACAACAAAAAAAAAACAAUGUACUUUUCAAAGCUGAAAUGUAACCAAACUUUUUUAAAAAUAUAUAUAUAUAUAAAUGAAAACCGUUAA